ensembl:lncRNA
GUUCUUCCAGCUGGCCUCCUUGCCACGUGCACACCCUGCCCGGAACCCGGCCCAGCUGCUUGCUGCUCGCCUGCCCACUUCCGUUUCCAGGAAGGGUUCCGGAGGCUGGCGGAGCAGGGGGCGGAGUGAUUGAUGACAGCGCGCGUGCCCCUGAACUCCUCGUCAAAGUUCUACAGGGUUGGCAGCCCUGUGCUGAAAGCUGCUCUGUGGCUGAGGCGGCAUAUGGACUGCUGACAGAGCAGCUGCUGGGGAAGAAGACGCUGAAAGGAAGCCUCUAGGGAUAAACAGAGAAACCCAUGGCACCACGUGGCACCCAAGGCAGAAUUCUCAUCCCCUUCACGACUGGAUAGCUACCCACCAAGCUCAGGCUGUGUUUCUCAGCUUCUUUUGCUAUGGAGUGGAUUCUUGCCAGUGGAAUGGUUUCCUUGGGAUGCAGUACCCAAAGCUUGUGAUUAAAAACAGCUGCAGAAACAAGAGGAAAACAUCUCCUAAAAAGUAAUCCCUUGGAACACAAUGUGUGUGGACUUGUAGGAGGUGUACGGGGGUGCGUGACAGAGUAGAGCCAUGGGGAGAGCUUUGGUUCUCCACAAGAGGCAUCUUUCUGUUGUCAGCUGCUCCCUGGGAGGCUCCAUGGACUUGAUCUCAGAGCUAGGGGCAGAAAAACUAGACUCAUCCUUCCACUAAGGAAUGAGAAGACUUCCUUCGAGCUUCCUAGGAGUUUGAACUGCUUCUAAGGUAGAGCCCAAUUAGCC